rnacentral:lncRNA from 1 species
CAGGGACUGCCUGUGGAUCCAUGCCAAUUGCUGUGAUCAGCCAGCCCGUCCAGGAGAGAGGCUGUGACUUCCCCAAGCACACCAAACUGUAACUCUCUGGGUCCUGUCAUUUGAGCUGAUGAGAAAGCAGCUUCCGAGGACAGACAUGAUUCAUCCAAAGAGACAUGAUUCGUGUGAGAGCCAGCUGUCAGGCCUAGUAUUGAUGGGAGACAUCUGGCUGAUUGGCCAACAGCAGGUAGAGAAGGCAAGCCCAGUGAAGACAGCACGAGGAGAGCAUCCACCUUUUGACAUUGCACGCAAGCAAGGAUGACACCAUGACCAUCUUUGAAAGGGCAGAGCUGGACUUUUGCAUAACAUUAUUCAGGUUAAUGACACCUUGGUACACAUCGGUCAAUUAAAUAAUAAAUAAAAUGUAUUGAUUCUUAGACUUCAAUAACACCUCUGAGACUUGUUAAUACUACUUGUGGAUUGAAGAUAUAUAAACAAAAUCAAUAUUUAUUGAAAAAUGUUCAACAUUUGAGAACUUAGAUUAACCUUGUUCAUUGAUCCUAUAAAGUGUCAAAUUUUUGACUGAUUUGUUUACUUACAUGCUUGUGAAAUUCUUUGGGAUGGAUAUUGCUUCAUAAUACAAUGUUUGUAGC